rnacentral:rRNA from 1 species
CUUGGGUCAAGAGUGACGGGCGAUUUGUGCAUGUUUUAUUUCUUUUUCUUUUUAGAUUUUCUUUCUGUAAUUAUUUUCAAGUUCUAUUUUCUCUUAAUCAUUUACAAUUCUAGUUUGUUUAUAGUAAGUGUCCCAUUAAGCUUCUAAAUAUAGACUCUGUAUUGAUUUGUCUUUUAAUCUCUUUUUAUUUUGAAGUUUCACUUUUAAAUUAAGCUUUGAGACAAUGAUAUAGAGGUUAAAAAUUUAGAAUUUUUCUUAUCGUGGGUUAUCUAUUACGGAACAGGGCCCCCUGCUUAGUAAAAACACCGCCAUAUUACACAGUUUUUAUUUAUAUAAUUAAUCCCAAUUUUUAUACUAAAA